GAGGAUAUAGCUCAGUGGUAGAGUACAUACUUGGCAUGCAUGAGACCCUGGGUUCAAUCCUCAGUACCCCCA
rfam:TPA: Bos taurus chromosome 20, whole genome shotgun sequence.